CCUACGGGAGGCAGCAGUGGGGAAUAUUGCGCAAUGGCCGAAAGGCUGACGCAGCGACGCCGCGUGGGGGAUGAAGCAUUUCGGUGUGUAAACCCCUGUUGCUCGGGACGAACAACUGGUUUUGACCAGUCUGACGGUACCGGGUGAGGAAGCACCGGCUAACUCCGUGCCAGCAGCCGCGGUAAUACGGAGGGUGCGAGCGUUGUCCGGAAUCACUGGGCGUAAAGGGCGCGUAGGCGGUCUGCUAAGCGUGUGGUGAAAGCUCGGGGCUCAACCCUGAGUCGGCCAUGCGAACUGGUGGACUAGAGCACUGUAGAGGCAGGUGGAAUUCCGGGUGUAGCGGUGGAAUGCGUAGAGAUCCGGAAGAACACCGGUGGCGAAGGCGGCCUGCUGGGCAGUAGCUGACGCUGAGGCGCGACAGCGUGGGGAGCAAACAGGAUUAGAUACCCUGGUAGUCCACGCCGUAAACGAUGGGCACUAGGUGCUUGGGGGAGNGACCCCCGAGUGCCGGCGCUAACGCAUUAAGUGCCCGCCUCGGGGAGUACGACCGCAAGGUUGAAACGUCAAAUGAAUUGACGGCUGAGACGNGCGAGACGACGACGAGGAGAGG
rnacentral:rRNA from 1 species